rnacentral:pre_miRNA from 1 species
CAUGUACUCCCUCCGUUCGGAAUUACUUGUCAUAAAAAUGGAUGUAUCUACAACUAAAAUACAUCUAGAUACAUUCAUUUCUUGGACGAGUAAUUCCGAACGGAGGGAGUAUAUG